GUACUAAGUGGCGGGACGAAACAAGCCCUUCCACACGCUGCCCACCCCUGCGGAGGGUCAGCUGGAUUGUGCAGGACGGGGAUCGACGGGCCGGGCCAGGACCCGAGACUUGAACCCGGAUCCUCCAGAGUGGAAAGCCGAAGCGUUUCCACGCGGCCAAUCCGGACAGAAUCUGGGCUUAUGACUGCAAAUAAUAAUUUGGAGUUUCUGAAUAAUGAAAUUGGAAUGAUUUUAAGAAUUGGAGUAUAUAUUAUAAAUGCUAUAUUUUUGAUUUGGAUGAUGAUAGAAGAAACGGAUCAGAGUAAAGAAAUCGGAAAAGUUAUUAAAAAUCUGCAGAACUACGAACAAGAAGUGCGAACGGUUAUAAAAGAAAUCUUUGGAUGGAAUUCGAAAUAGAUGAUCAGUAAUAUGCUGGAAAAUAGAAUACAAAGCCAUGGUUUUAAAAACAUGAAAAUUUCUAUGACCAUAAAAUUUUAAAAAUACAAUUAAUUCUCAUUAUCCGCGAUAGUUACGUACUGAAAAGUUCUUCCCGAAUACUGAAUUAGCGAAUAGUGAACCAUUGUGCCGAUGGAAAAUAUGGAAUCCUGCGAACAUUUCUUCCCAACAUUUUCAUCCUUGCUUUGUGUAUAUUUUUCUGUUUAAAGAU
rnacentral:lncRNA from 1 species